AUUGCUUCUCGGCCUUUUGGCUGAGAUCAAGUAUAAAAAUUAUUUUACAAAAAUACAAACUAUAUCAGAAGGAUGUAGACCAAGCAGAAUUUCUUCUUUCUUGUUUUUUAUUGAGAUAGCAUGUCACUAUGUUGCCCUCGGUAGAGUGCCA
rnacentral:snRNA from 1 species